GACGAACGCUGGCGGCGUGCCUAAUACAUGCAAGUCGAACGAGUGGCGGACGGGUGAGUAAUAUAUCGGAACGUGCCCAGUAGCGGGGGAUAACUACUCGAAAGAGUGGCUAAUACCGCAUACUCUUGGAGCGGCCGAUAUCGGAUUAGCUAGUUGGGGGGGUAAAGGCUGACCAAGGCAACGAUCCGUAGCUGGUUUGAGAGGACGACCAGCCACACUGGGACUGAGACACGGCCCAGACUCCUACGGGAGGCAGCAGUGGGGAAUUUUGGACAAGUGGGGAAACCCUGAUCCAGCCAUCCCGCGUGUAUGAGAAGGCCUUCGGGUUGUAAAGUACUUUUGGCAGAGAAGCGGUAUCUGCAGAAUAAGCACCGGCUAACUACGUGCCAGCAGCCGCGGUAAUUC
rnacentral:rRNA from 1 species